CCGGAAGGUGUGGCUGGAUCACCUCCUUUAAGGAGUUCUUCCUUUGUGGAGGCUCGUCAAGUCAGAGUUUCGCAGUAACUUUCGUGACUAGGUCGGCGAAGACUAGCGACUCCGGUCGUGAAGAGUAGUCGUCCCGAAAAUGAGAGGGCGAUUCGUCGGUAGGCGGCUCAGCAUGCGGUGCAAAUCCGCUUCGUUUUCUGUUUUGAGUGCACACCAGAGUUUGUCCUGUCUUUCCCACUCUUCAGACUUUCAAGGUCUGAAAACCUCCCGCGAAAUUUGAUUUCGCGUGCGGAGGGAGACAUCGGUUGUCGGUGUCGCUAUAGCACGGAAUACCGUGCCCCAGGGGAUGUAGCUCAGCUGGGAGAGCACCUGCUUUGCAAGCAGGGGGUCAGCGGUUCGAAUCCGCUCAUCUCCACCAGCACAUUGACAACCGAAUAGGUCUAUCGAGAUCUCCAGAAUGCCGUAGAGCAAAAUCUGGAUCCUCUUUCUUAGCGUUUUGACGUGACCUUCGAUCAUUCUUCAGCGACUGAGGAGUGGUUAUAGGUCGAACAAGCUAGUAAGGGUCCGA
rnacentral:tRNA from 1 species